GAUGAACGCUAGCGGCAGGCUUAAUACAUGCAAGUCGAGGGGCAGCACGGGUAGCAAUACCUGGUGGCGACCGGCAAACGGGUGCGGAACACGUACGCAACCUUCCCGAAACUGGUGAAUAGCCCUCCGAAAGGAGGAUUAAUACACCGUAAGAUAAUGGAGUGGCAUCACUCUAUUAUUAUAGCUACGGCGGUUUUGGAUGGGCGUGCGCCUGAUUAGGUAGUUGGCGGGUAACGGCCCACCAAGCCUGCGAUCAGUAACUGGUGUGAGAGCACGACCAGUCACACGGGCACUGAGACACGGGCCCGAACUCCUACGGGAGGCAGCAGUAAGGAAUAUUGGUCAAUGGACGCAAGUCUGAACCAGCCAUGCCGCGUGAAGGAUGAAGGCCCUCUGGGUUGUAAACUUCUUUUAUCUGGGACGAAAAAAGGGAAUUCUUUCCCACUUGACGGUACCAGAGGAAUAAGCACCGGCUAACUCCGUG
rnacentral:rRNA from 1 species